rnacentral:rRNA from 1 species
AUUGAACGCUGGCGGAAUGCUUUACACAUGCAAGUCGAGCGGCAGCGCGGGGGCAACCCUGGCGGCGAGCGGCGAACGGGUGAGUAACACAUCGGAACGUACCCAGUUGUGGGGGAUAGCCCGGCGAAAGCCGGAUUAAUACCGCAUACGACCUGAGGGUGAAAGGGGGGGAUCGCAAGACCUCUCGCAGUUGGAGCGGCCGAUGGCGGAUUAGCUAGUUAGUGAGGUAAAGGCUCACCAAGGCGACGAUCCGUAGCUGGUCUGAGAGGACGACCAGCCACACUGGAACUGAGACACGGUCCAGACUCCUACGGGAGGCAGCAGUGGGGAAUUUUGGACAAUGGGGGCAACCCUGAUCCAGCCAUUCCGCGUGAGUGAAGAAGGCCUUCGGGUUGUAAAGCUCUUUCGGCAGGAACGAAACGGUGGAGGCUAAUACCUUUCAUCAAUGACGGUACCUGAAGAAGGAGCACCGGCUAACUACGUGCCAGCAGCCGCCGUAA